rnacentral:sRNA from 1 species
CCCUCCCUUCCCCCACCCCAUCAGGAUGAUAUGAGACUUGAAAGAAGACGAUGCAUACAGAAUCUUCUGAAUAUUGAAAACAGAGAACUAUACUGGAAGAACAUAGUGUAUUAAGACUCAUGGAGAGGGAGAUGUGAUACUGUGUCACUGAGGUCGUUCCAGUCAUAGGAGAAAUGUUACCACUGGAUUGAGGAGGAGAGACUUCAGCAUGCAAACCUUCAUCU